rnacentral:sRNA from 1 species
UGCUAUACCUGGACCUCAGCGAGAACCGCCUGGAGAGCCUGCCCCCGCAGAUGCGCCGCCUGGUGCACCUGCAGACGCUCGUGCUCAAUGGAAACCCCCUGCUGCAUGCACAGCUCCGGCAGCUCCCAGCGAUGACGGCCCUGCAGACCCUGCACCUGCGGAGCACCCAGCGUACCCAGAGCAACCUGCCCACCAGCCUGGAGGGUCUGAGCAACCUCGCAGGUCAGGCAGCCCCCAGGAGCCCCUCUGAGCUCUGGCCCCCUCUGGGCCCUCUUGCUUCCUUGGGUGGAAGGGGUUGAACCCUGCUCUUCGGACCAAUGCCCAGAGGGAAAAGGCUGGAGUUAUGUUACAGUGACUUUUGCGAUUAUGAUGAUGCCUUAACACUGACUUUAUGCCUAGACAACUCCCCCGCAACCCCCGUGUGAGGGAGUUUGUCCAAAUGGAGAAACUUGGGCGCACAGCAGUUGUCACUUGCCUAAGGCCACACAGCUCAGAGGUGGCAGAGCUGGGGUUCAUACUAGGGCUGGCUGCCCUGGCACCUGCUGUAUGGGCCCCAGCUGAUGCCCCACACCCUGCACCCCAGACGUGGACCUGUCCUGCAACGACCUGACGCGGGUGCCCGAGUGUCUGUACACCCUCCCCAGCCUGCGCCGCCUCAACCUCAGCAGCAACCAGAUCACGGAGCUGUCCCUGUGCAUCGACCAGUGGGUGCACGUGGAAACUCUGAACCUGUCCCGAAAUCAGCUCACCUCACUGCCCUCAGCCAUUUGCAAGCUGAGCAAGCUGAAGAAGCUGUACCUGAAUUCCAACAAGCUGGACUUUGACGGGCUGCCCUCGGGCAUUGGCAAGCUCACCAACCUGGAAGAGUUCAUGGCUGCCAACAACAACCUGGAGCUGAUCCCCGAAAGUCUCUGCAGGUGCCCAAAGCUGAGGAAACUUGUCGUGAACAAGAACCGCCUGGUGACCCUCCCAGAAGCCAUCCAUUUCCUGACGGAGAUCGAGGUCCUGGAUGUGCGGGAGAACCCCAACCUGGU